ACUCCUACGGGAGGCAGCAGUAGGGAAUCUUCCACAAUGGGCGCAAGCCUGAUGGAGCAACACCGCGUGAGUGAAGAAGGGUUUCGGCUCGUAAAGCUCUGUUGUUAAAGAAGAACACGUAUGAGAGUAACUGUUCAUACGUUGACGGUAUUUAACCAGAAAGUCACGGCUAACUACGUGCCAGCAGCCGCGGUAAUACGUAGGUGGCAAGCGUUAUCCGGGAUUUAUUGGGGCGUAAAGAGAGUGCAGGCGGUUUUCUAAGUCUGAUGUGAAAGCCUUCGGCUUAACCGGAGAAGUGCAUCGGAAACUGGAUAACUUGAGUGCAGAAGAGGGUAGUGGAACUCCAUGUGUAGCGGUGGAAUGCGUAGAUAUAUGGAAGAACACCAGUGGCGAAGGCGGCUACCUGGUCUGCAACUGACGCUGAGACUCGAAAGCAUGGGUAGCGAACAGGAUUAGAUACCCUGGUAG
rnacentral:rRNA from 1 species